AGUGAACGCUGGCGGUAGGCCUAACACAUGCAAGUCGAACGGCAGCACAGUAAGAGCUUGCUCUUACGGGUGGCGAGUGGCGGACGGGUGAGGAAUACAUCGGAAUCUACUUUUUCGUGGGGGAUAACGUAGGGAAACUUACGCUAAUACCGCAUACGACCUACGGGUGAAAGCAGGGGAUCUUCGGACCUUGCGCGAUUGAAUGAGCCGAUGUCGGAUUAGCUAGUUGGCGGGGUAAAGGCCCACCAAGGCGACGAUCCGUAGCUGGUCUGAGAGGAUGUGCAGCCACACUGGAACUGAGACAGGGCCCAGCCCCCGCGGGGGGCGGCCGGGGGGGAAGUUUGGACAGGGGGGGCAGCCCGGACCCACCCUUACGGGGGGGGUAAAAAAGGCUUCGGGUUUUAAAGGCCUUUUUGUGGGAAAAAAAAAGCAGCAGGUAAAUCCCCCGCUGUUUUGAGGUUACCAAAAAGAAAGGCCCCGCCAAACUUGGGG
rnacentral:rRNA from 1 species